GGCGCGGGGACAGAAGGGGGCGGGGCCCGGGCUACAGGGGAGGAGCUCGAGAAAUUAAACGAGGCAAGGGACAAGUCCGGAGAAGGUGGAAGGUGGGACAAGGGAGACGGUGGGCCUGGGCGUUGCGGGGGCGGGGCUCGAACCGAAGGGGCGAGGUUUGCAGGCCGAGACUACAGAUAGGACUGCUCAGUUACUGCCCCAACCACUACCACCUACCCGAGUGCAACGGGAUCCACGGAACUACAGGUGUGGGGCGGGGUGAGCGUGGAAGAAGGGAUGCGGAUGGGGGUGCGCUUUGCAGACAAUCUGGAGACUGCUGUAUGUUGAGGGAAGACACGGAGUCGAGGGAGCAGUUGGGGACUCAAUGUGUGGGCAACAAGGGUCCUGCUGAGCUCAGGAGCUGCACGGAAUGGUGGCAGUCACCUUGCCAGUGCAGCAGGCAUGGAUCAGACUGCAAGCUAGGGGCACAAGGCAUCAGUUGGGAAGAGGGAACGCACAGCUAGGCUCCAGGCCUCUUCAUCGGGGG
rnacentral:lncRNA from 1 species